GAUGAACGCUGGCGGCGUGCCUAAUACAUGCAAGUCGAGCGAACGGACGAGAAGCUUGCUUUUCUGAUGUUAGCGGCGGGCGGGUGAGUCACACGUGGAUACCCUCCCUAUCAGACUGGGAUAACUUCGGGAAACCGGAGCUAAUACCGGAUAAUAUUUUGCACCGCAUGGUUCAAAAGUGAAAGACGGUCUUGCUGUCACUUAUCGAUGGAUCCGCGCUGCAUUAGCUAGUUGGUAAGGUAACGGCUUACCACGGCAACGAUGCAUAACCGACCUGUGGGGGGGGUCGGCCACACUGGAAGGGAGACACGGUCCAGACUCCUACGGGAGGCAGCAGUAGGGAAUCUUCCGCAAAGGGCGAAAGCCUGACGGAGCAACGCCGCGUGAGUGAUGAAGGUCUUCGGAUCGUAAAACUCUGUUAUUAGGGAAGAACAUAUGUGUAAGUAACUGUGCACAGCGUGACGGUACCUAAUCAGAAAGCCACGGCUAACUACGUG
rnacentral:rRNA from 1 species